rnacentral:piRNA from 1 species
UGCCUUCUCUGCUGGAAUUAAACCUG